rnacentral:rRNA from 1 species
AGCGAACGCUGGCGGCAUGCUUAACACAUGCAAGUCGCACGGGCAGUAGCAAUACUGUCAGUGGCGGACGGGUGAGUAACGCGUAGGAAUCUAUCCGUUGAAGUGGGGGACAACCGUGGGAAACUACGGCUAAUACCGCAUGAUGCCUGAGGGCCAAAGACGAAAGUCGUUUGAGGAGGAGCCUGCGUCUGAUUAGGUAGUUGGUGGGGUAAAGGCCUACCCAAGCCUACGAUCAGUAGCUGGUCUGAGAGGAUGAUCAGCCACAUUGGGACUGAGACACGGCCCAAACUCCUACGGGAGGCAGCAGUGGGGAAUAUUGGACAAUGGGCGCAAGCCUGAUCCAGCAAUGCCGCGUGGGUGAAGAAGGUCUUCGGAUUGUAAAGCCCUUUUGGCGGGGACGAUGAUGACGGUACCCGCAGAAUAAGCUCCGGCUAACUUCGUG